ensembl:lncRNA
GGAUGUAAUUCCAUUUAUAGUAGCUAUAAGUAAAACCAUAGGAAUGAACCAAAGUAGUGAACAGUCUCCACAAUAAAAAUUAUAAAACACUGAUGCAGCCAGGCACAGUGGCUCCUGCCCGAGAUUACAGAAUCCCAGCACUUUGGGAGGCUGAGGCAGGGAGAUCAUAAGGUCAGGAGAUUGAGAACAUCUUGGCCAACAUGGUGAAACCCCGUCUCUACUAAAAAUACAAAAAUUAGCUGGGCGUGGUUGUGCGUGCCUGUAGUCGCAGCUACUCUGGAGGCUGAGGCAGGAGAAUCGCUUGAAUCUGGAAGGUGGAGGUUGCAGUGAGCUGAGCAAAUAAUGGAAAGAUAUUCCAUGUUCACGGAUUCAAAAAAGCAAUAUUGUUAAAGUGUCCACACUACCCAAAGCAAUUUACAGAUUCAAUGCAAUCCCUAUCAAAAUAACAAUGACAUUCUUUACAGAAAUAGAAAAAAAUUAUUCUAAAUUUUAUAUGCAACCACAUAAGACCAAAAACAGUCAAAGCUAUCCUGAGCAAAAAACAAAACUGGAGGAAUCAUAUUACCUGACUUCAAAUCAUUCUACAGAGCUGUAGUAACCAAAAUGGCAUAAUGCUGGCAUAGUAACUGACACAUAGACUGGUGGAACAGAAUAGAGAACCCACAAACAAAUCUAAACAUCUACAGUGAAGUCAUUUUCAACAAAGGUACUAAGACUGCACACUGGGGAAAGGAUGAUCUCUUCAAUAAAUGCUGCUGGGAAAACUGAAUAUCCAUAAGCAGAAGAAUGAACCCUGUAUCUUUCCUUACACCAAGGGAGACAAAAACUGAAGCAAGGAGACCAUUUAGAGGACUACUUCAAUAUUACAACAGAGAAAAGAUAAUGAUCAUUCUAAAGGCCUAUCCACUGAAAAGUUGUAGAAGCAUUAAGCAAAAGAGAUGCAGGAAGCUCCUUGGGAGCAAAACUUUGGUUUCUAUGUACCAUCACUCACUGGAAGGAACCAGGGCUUCUUGGAGAAAUGGCUGCUUGCUGGUUGCAGGCAGGCAACAUGUGAUAUCAAUCUAGAGGAUCUUGUCAUACUGGAAAGCAAAGAUGCUUUUAUACCCCACAAGGGUCAUGUUCAUAUGAUCCAGGAGGCAACUUGAAGAAGCACCCACUAUCCAAACAUGAAAUAAUGUAAGCAUCAAUAAUAAUGAUGACUACAAUGAACAGAUGCACACUUCUGUUUAAAUCCUUAUGUUUAUAAUGACAUUAAAACUUACAGUCAAUAGAAUAGAUACAAUAUGAUCUAGAUCUAAAACUUGCGAUAAAAAGACUGCAGUAGGUUCCCUUAUUUAUGGGCAUACUUUUCAAGACCUCCAGUUGAUGCCUGAAACCACAGAUAAUACUACACCCUAUAUCAGCACUUUUCACACUAUGGCUGUAACUUUUGCAGUUUGAGGUGUAGCAGCAAAAUUGGCAAGAAUUUCUUUUUCCUUCUUCACAGUUUCAUGGUAAAAAAUUCAUUCUUACCAUAGAUUUUAGCAAUCUCAGCCUACAGAUUUUUUCUUUCCUUAUUAAGUGAAGAGCUUUCAUAUUUUCACUUAGAGGAAACACUUUAAGUUUUCUACAUUGUAUAUCUGAAUUUUCAGCAUCACUACUCUUAUGCAUUGGAGCCAGUAUUGAGCAAACACUGUUAUACUAGGACAGUUGAUCUGAUAGCUACUUCAUAUCUGUUAAGACACUAGAAGGAGAGGGGAAUGAGACAUGACUACUAAUGGGUAUUGGCUUUCUUUUUUGAGAUCAUGAAAAUAUUCUGGAAAUAGAUAAUGAUGAUCAUGGCACGACUCUGUAGUCAACUCAAGUAGUUCUGUUAACUACUAAGUGACUAAACAUUCAGGUGACAGAGACGGUGUGGAUCUGCUGGACAAGGGGAUGAUUCACAUUCUGGGGAAGACAGGACAGGGCAGCAGGAGACUGCAUCACACUCCUCAAAACAACACACAGCUUAAAACUACAAUUGGUCUAUUUCUAGAGUUUUCCAUUUAAUAUUUUUAGACUGAGGUUUAACACAGGUAACUGAAACUGGGGAAAGUGAAGCCACAAAUAAGGGGCACUACUGAGUUAUAAACAUGUUUAAGGACUUUAAAAAAAAUUGUAUCAGAUGUGAAAUCUCAGCAAAAAUAAAAACUAAAAAAAUUAAAAUUAAAAGUUCCAGGACAUAAAAAUACAAUAUUUGAAAUAAAAAAUGCACCAGACUGAGAAGAGACAGGAAAUUAUUACCCAAAAUUCAACAAAAAAUAAUCAGUCAAUUUCUAGUUUCUCCAAGUGCUUUCCAGGAUCCUGGGAAACUAGCUCACAAUUUAGGAAACUGGUAAAUAAAAGAGUAAGUGAUAAAUAAGAAAUGGUAAGUAAAGGGAAAUAAUCAAAUAUCCUGCCUUUUCUCCAAAAAUAACACCUCAGGGUUACCAAAGAGAUAAUGAGGAAAAAUUCUCUUAAUGGAAGUUUUCUAUUUAAUACAUGAAAAGGAAUAAUAGAAAUAGAAUUGCUUCACUUGUUAACCUCUAAUUACGUAAUUAAUCUGGAAUAUAUCAUCAGCAGUUGCUCUUAGUUGGGUUCCGUCAAGAAAACAGCCAAUUAAGAACUCCAGAAAUAAGCAAUUUAAUAUAGGAAUUAAUGCCUACAUUCACGUGAAUGCCACCUGCAGCAGAUUGCAUAGAAAGUUACAACUACCACCACAGGCCAGACACGAUGGCUCAGGUCUGUAAUCCCAGUGUUUUGGGAGGCGGAGGUGGGAGGAUCACUUGAAGCUAGGAGUUUGAGACCAGCUUGGGCAACAUAGCAAGACCUUGUUAUUAAGAUAAUUUUUUAAAAUUAGCCAUGCAUAGUGAUGGGUGUCUGUAGUCUCAAUUACUUGGGAGGCUUAGGCAGGAGGAUUCCUUAAACCCAGGAGUUCAAGGCUGCAGUGAGAUAUAAUUAUGCCAUUACACUCCAGCCUUGGAGACAGAGUGGGAUCUUGUCUUUAAAGAAAAAGAAAGAAAAGGAAAAACAACCAUAAAUGGCAUCAACUUAAAACAUUGUAGGGAAAGCGGCAGCUCAUCAAAGAAUCCAAGAAACUUCUGCAUCCAUUUUGAUUGUGAAGUACCAGCUUAUCAAAAAUGUAUGAUUGUGAUGAUUGUGCUAUGUCUGAAUGCUAGUGUUGCUAAGGAGAUACUUGUAAAGAGCCCUGCGAAGCCUCCAUGCUAAGAAUGAUUUCUGUUUUACUUUUAUCUUCCAAAUUGUGUGUGAAUUUUCCUCAUUUGCAAAUCCUAUAAAAAUUCAUUCAGGGAAUAGGAUUCAAGAAUAUGGAGUUCCUAGUUUUAGAAAAGUGUAGUGAUACUACCAAGUUGACAAGACAAUUCAGCACAGCUGAU